rnacentral:lncRNA from 1 species
CCCUUUUAGCCCCUCUCCGCGCCCUGGCCUUGCCCCGCUCUCUCGGCGACGGCGACCCAUGGCGCCCCGAAGCUCCCGCCCUCCUCCUUUUGGGGCGCCUGGCUUCCUUCGACGACCCCAGCCCCGCUUUCGCUUCCCCCCCCGUGGUGACGGGCUUCCUCCGCUAUCUGACGGGGGUCCCGGACCCCGCCCCCCGCGCCCUUCGUUUGCUGCAGCGCUUAAUGGGGCAGCCGGCGUUGUUGGAGCCGCUGGUGCAAGGAUACGUCCCGUCCCUCAUCCACUCGUGGUUGGUUCUGGGUUUGGAGCCCGACGAGGCCGAGGAGGCGGCGAAACCCGCGGCGGCACGGCGGGAUCGAGAACGGGGUCAACCGGAUCGAGAACGGGAUCAAGCGAAUCGGGAACGGCAGAGCGAGCAUCAACGGGAUCAAGAACGGCGUCAGCCAGAUCAAGAAUGGGGUCAACCAAAUCGGGAACAGCAGAGGAAACGCCAACAGGAUCAGGAAUGGGGUCAACCAGAUCGAGAACGGGGCCAACUGGAUCAAGAACCAGGUCAACCACAUCAAGAACAGCAGAGUAGAUGUCAACGGGAUCAAGAACGGGGUCAACCAGAUCGAGAACGGGGUCAAGCAGAUCAAGAACAGCAAAGGAAAUGUCAACUGGAUCAGAAAUGGUGUCAACGGGAUCAAGAGCGGGGUCAACCAGAUCGAGAACAGCACAGGAAACGUCACCGGGAUCAAGAACGGGGUCAACCGGAUCGAGAAUGGGGUCAAAUGGAUCGAGAACGAGGUCAACCAGAUCCAGAACAGCAGAGGAAACGUCAACAGGAUGAGGAACGGGGUCAAGCGGAUCGAGAACGGGGUCAAGCAAAUCAACAACAGGAAAGGAAACGUCAACUGGAUCAGGAACGGUGUCAAGCUGAUCGAGAACGGGGUCAACUGGAACAAGAAUGGAGUCAACCACAUCGAGAACAGGGGCAGAAACGCCAACGGGAUCAAGAAUGCGGUCAACCAAAUCGAGAACCGUGUCAGUCCAAACGAGCAUGCCGUCAAUUGGAUCUAGAACGGUGUCAACCAGAUCAAGAACGGAGUCAACGCGAUCGAGAACAGCAGCGGAAACGCCAUCGGGAUGGAGAACAGCGUCAACGGGAUCAAGAAUGGGGUCGGCAACGUCAAGCGGGUGAAGAGCGGUGUCAACAAGGCCAGGAACGGUGUCAACCGGAUCGAGAACAGGGGCGGAAACAUCAACGGGAUCGAGAACGGCGUCAAGCAGAUGAAGAACAGCAUCGACGGGAUCAAGAACGGGGUCGGCAGCGUCAACUGGAGCGAGAACGGGGUCAGCAGGAUGGAGAACACAGCCAACAACAUCAACAGGAUCAAGAACGUUGUCAGCAGUGUCAGGUGGAUCGAGAACAUGAUCAACAGGAGCGAGAACAUCAACAAGAUCGAGAACAUUGUCAAUGCUGUCAAUGGGGUGGAGAACAUUGUCAGCUGUGUGAGCUGGAUCGAGAACGCUGUCAAGAACAUUGUCAAGAACAUCACCGGGAUUGGAAAUGUUGUCAGGCGGACCAAGAACGUUGGCAACGGGAUGGAGAACGUUGCCAGCAGUGUCACCAGCAUCGAGAAUGCUGUGGACAGCAUCAAAAGGAUCAAGAACGUUGUCAAUGCUGUCAACUGGGUCAAGAACGUUGUCAGCGGCGUCAAUGCAAUCCAAAGCAAGGUCAACAAUAUCGAGAACGGGGUCGGCAGUGUCACUGGGAUCAAGAACGAUGCCAACCGGAUCGAGAACGAUGCCAACCGGAUCAAGAACAGUGUCAGCAGUGUCAAUUGCAUCAACAACAACGUCACCAGGAUCGGGAACGGCGCCAACCAGAUCGAGAACCGCAUCAGCUGAACCGAGAACGGCAUCAGCAGCGUCAACUGCAUCAAAAACAACGUCACCAGGAUCGGGAACGGCGCCAACCAGAUCGAGAACCACGUCAACCGCAUCAAGAACAGCGUCAGCAGCAUCAAUUGCAUCAAGAAUGUCGCCGGGAUCAAGAACAGCAUCAACCAGAUCGAGAACCACGUCAACCACAUCAAGAACGGGGUCAGCAGCGUCAAUUGUAUCAAGAACAACGUCACCAGGAUCGAGAACGGCACCAACCAGAUCGAGAACCACAUCAACCACAUCGAGAACGGGGUCAGCAGCGUCAACUGCACCAACAGCAAUGUCACCGGGAUCGAGAACAGCGUCAACGGGAUCGAGAACAUCAACCAGGUCAAGAACAGGGUCAGCGAUGUCAACCGAAACGAGAACAUCAGCCGGAUGCAGAAUGGCGCCAGCCAGAUCGAGAACCGCAUCAAGUGGAUCAAGAACCGUGCCAGCCGGAUGGAGAACAAUGUCAACCGGACCAAGAACGAUGUCAACCAGGUCUAGAACAACAUGAACCAGAUCUAGAGCGGGGCCAGAGAUGUCAACGUGAUCAGGGAUUGGAUGAUCAGGAAGGAGACCGUUGUGAUCGAGAACACGCUAUUUGUGAUCUAGAACAUGCUCUAGAGCACAGCAAUUUGGGUGUAGAACUGGAAGAAGAACUGGUCAAUUGGGAUCAAGAACAGGAUGGAGACUGGGGUGAUCGGGAUCUAGAAUGCGCUCAAGAACGGGAUGAUUGGGAUCUAGCACAGGGUCAAGAACAGCACAACCAGGAUCUGGAACAGGAUCAGGAACUGAAUGACAGGGAUCAAGAACUGGGUUAUCAAGCUCUAGAGGGGGACCAAAAAUGGGACGGCCCAGAUCGAGAACGGGACAAUGGGGAUCAAGAACUGGAUCGAGAACGGGGCAGCCGAGAUCAAGAACGGGAUGAAGAUGGGGAUGGCCGAGAUCUAGAACCGGAUCGAGAACGGGACGAUGGGGAUCGAGAACGGGACAGAGAACGCGGCCAACGGGGUCGUCCCGGAGAAAGGAGAAGGGAACAGCUC